rnacentral:rRNA from 1 species
UACGUAGGGGGCUAGCGUUGUCCGGAAUCAUUGGGCGUAAAGAGCGUGUAGGCGGCCCGAUAAGUCCGCUGUGAAAGUCCAGGGCUCAACCCUGGAAUGCCAGUGGAUACUGUCGGGCUAGAGUCCGGAAGAGGUGAGUGGAAUUCCCGGUGUAGCGGUGAAAUGCGCAGAUAUCGGGAGGAACACCAAUGGCGAAGGCAGCUCGCUGGGACGUGACUGACGCUGAGACGCGAAAGCGUGGGGAGCAAACAGG